GGGGAUGUAAAGGUUUCGACAGGGGUGCGUGUGGUAUAGAUAGCGAGUCGGCGUUCCAUGAGGCCGUUAAACGGUGGGAAAACAUUUAAUCAGUUGUUCAUAUGAAUUAGGCGAGACAACAUGAACUGGGGUUGUGUAGCUUGUCUGUGAGCAGUAGCAACCUGAGAUCUUAAUCAUAGACUGUGCUCGGAGAAGUCUAUAUGGCAACACUUUUGGACAGGGGUUCGACUCCCCUCAUCUCCACCA
rnacentral:tmRNA from 1 species